UACGUAGGGUGCAAGCGUUAAUCGGAAUUACUGGGCGUAAAGUGUGCGCAGGCGGCCGCGCAAGUCGAGUGUGAAAUCCCCGAGCUUAACUUGGGAAUUGCGCUCGAAACUACGUGGCUGGAGUGUGGCAGAGGAAGGUGGAAUUCCACGUGUAGCGGUGAAAUGCGUAGAUAUGUGGAGGAACACCGAUGGCGAAGGCAGCCUUCUGGGCCAACACUGACGCUCAUGCACGAAAGCGUGGGGAGCAAACAGG
rnacentral:rRNA from 1 species